AUGCGAAUAUAUUCUCACCGGCCUAAUCGCUCUGUGGUUUUUGCCGGGCUAGACAUUCGCUAGAUCAUAACUAGACUGUGUCAUCAGAGCCAGCAACUUCAUCUGGUUCUGAUUAUUUAUUGCUAGUUACACGG
rnacentral:snoRNA from 1 species